ACAUCUUAGUACCCGGAGGAAGAGAAAGAAAAUUCGAUUCCCUUAGUAGCGGCGAGCGAAACGGGAAGAGCCCAAACCAACAAGCUUGCUUGUUGGGGUUGUAGGACACUCUAUACGGAGUUACAAAAGACGACAUUAGACGAAUCAUCUGGAAAGAUGAAUCAAAGAAGGUAAUAAUCCUGUAGUCGAAAAUGUUGUCUCUCUUGAGUGGAUCCUGAGUACGACGGAGCACGUGAAAUUCCGUCGGAAUCUGGG
rnacentral:rRNA from 1 species